AUAAUUUUUUUUCGAAAGAAAGAAAAAAAUCUGUUCUUAUCAGUUUAAUAUCUGAUACGUCUCCUACCAGGGCACUAUAUAUUAAAUUGAUUUUUGCAGCUGGGAGAUGGGUCAGGGGCUUGCUCCACCCACUCCACGCAUCGACCUGGUAUUGCAGUACUUCCGGGAACGGUGCAUUCCUA